rnacentral:lncRNA from 1 species
UAUCAACACAGAGCAAAGAUUGGCAAGCCAAGGCUUCGGUUUGUUGGUGGCUGAUUCUGGAAAUGUGUAUAUGAGAGUAUGUAUUGUAUCCACUAGUUAUGCAUAAAUUGCUAUGUAUUGGUAACCUCUUUCCACUAAUAUAUUUUCUUUUUAUGUUAAAUAGAAUCCAGGUGGAAGAAGAGUGCAAGUUAUUCAUCAAGUUGGAUCCAGUCAAAAUUCACAAAUUACUGAUGGCCCAACACCUCCUUAAUAUAGAUGUCUAUGCUUAGAUUUGGUUUUUUGUCAUGAUCCUAAACUUUGAGGUUGUUAUUAGCGUUUUUUGGUGAUAUAUCCAACAACUUGAGAUGUAUUUCUGGUAACAACUUUUUUGUCUAUGAACAGCAUUUUUUGGUGAUAUAACAUGUCCCUC